rnacentral:rRNA from 1 species
GACGUAGGGGGGCGAGCGUUGUCCGGAUUUAUUGGGCGUAAAGCGUGCGUAGGCGGCUGCGCAAGUCGGUUGUGAAACCCCGGGGCUCAACCCCGGAACUGCAUCCGAUACUGCGUGGCUAGAGGUAGGUAGGGGAGAUCGGAAUUCCGGUGUAGCGGUGAAAUGACGCAGAUAUCAGGAGGAACACCGGUGGCGAAGGCGGAUCUCUGGGCCUUACCUGACGCUCAGGCACGAAAGCUAGGGGAGCGAACAGG